GACGAACGCUGGCGGCGUGCUUAACACAUGCAAGUCGAACGGAAAGGCCCUGCUUUUGUGGGGUGCUCGAUUGGCGAACGGGUGAGUAACACGUGAGUAACCUGCCCUUGACUUUGGGAUAACUUCAGGAAACUGGGGCUAAUACCGGAUAGGAGCUCCUGCUGCAUGGUGGGGGUUGGAAAGUUUCGGCGGUUGGGGAUGGACUCGCGGCUUAUCAGCUUGUUGGUGGGGUAGUGGCUUACCAAGGGUUUGACGGGUAGCCGGCCUGAGAGGGUGACCGGCCACAUUGGGACUGAGAUACGGCGCAGACUCCUACGGGAGGCAGCAGUGGGGAAUAUUGCACAAUGGGCGGAAGCCUGAUGCAGCAACGCCGCGUGCGGGAUGACGGCCUUCGGGUUGUAAACCGCUUUCGCCUGUGACGAAGCGUGAGUGACGGUAAUGGGUAAAGAAGCACCGGCUAACUACGUG
rnacentral:rRNA from 1 species